GGGGCAUAUUGGACAAUGGGCGAACGCCUGAUCCAGCCAUGCCGCGUGUGUGACGAAGGUCUUCGGAUUGUAAAGCACUUUAAGUUGGGUGUAAGGGCAGUAAGUUAAUACCUCGCUGUUUUGACGUUACCAUAAGAAUAUGCACCGGCUCACUUCGUGCCAGCAGCCGCGGUAAUACGAAGGGUGCAAGCGUUAAUCGGAAUUACUGGGCGUAAAGCGCGCGUAGGUGGUUCAGCAAGUUGGAUGUGAAAUCCCCGGGCUCAACCUGGGAACUGCAUCCAAAACUACUGGGCUAGAGUACGGUAGAGGGUGGUGGAAUUUCCUGUGUAGCGGUGAAAUGCGUAGAUAUAGGAAGGAACACCAGUGGCGAAGGCGGCCCCCUGGACGAAGACUGACGCUCAGGCACGAAAGCGUGGGGAGCAAACA
rnacentral:rRNA from 1 species